AGGGAAGAACUAAAGAAGAAGAAAGAAAGAGGGGAGACAAACAUUCACUGUAUUGCAGUCGUUCUAAAUUUUUAGGAGUUAUGAUCUUUUCUAUUUUUCUUCCAGCUGUCUCAAUUUGCUUGU
rnacentral:ribozyme from 13 species